AAGGUAAAAUAAAAAUGUAGAAAUGCGAUAAUAUUUUCACAAAAGGGUCAUAAAUAAUUGCGUUCCUUGAUAUUCCUUCAUCUAUAAUACAGUACAACCUCGUCUAUUAACUACAUUAAUAUCAUGCUAAUAUUACUACUUAUGAAAUUGUGUUACAUAAUGAUAUAUAUUAGUACAUUUUUUUAUAUAUUUUUUGACGUAUUAUAGCAGACAAGCACAUAUGUGGAUGUCAAGUCUAGUUAAGCUUUGAUGAGAGUGAUACACCAAGAAUAAAGGAACGAUCACACUUGAAUUUGAAAAAGUCAAAUAAUGGAAAUUAAGUAAUGGUCAGAAUUAAAUAGCCAUAUUAUCCUAAUUCUUUGUUUUAUAGACAAUUUAAUUCAGAAAAAAAGAGAGGAAGAAACUGAGGUGGCGAUAGAUGAAAAAGGCAGAAAGAUCUACGGGUAUGAAAAGAGACAGAAAAGACUGGUCUGGUUAGAUCUGAGCCGUUGGUUGAGAAGAGCCUUCUCGUAUAAUCCAUUUUUUGUGGGACGUGGCGGUCGCUUUUGCUCCUCCGGUUCACACUCUAAACAAUCGUGGCGAAGCCAGAGCCGUCGAAUUAACAGUAGAGUGGGAUCCGCUAGUCAGCGUUCAGCUGCCACGUUACGACACUUGAUCCAAGAAAUAGUAGCAAUAAGGGUUCGUUUAUAGUUGAAGCUAAUUAAAGUAGAGGUAACAGUUUUCAAGUCAGCGAUUGUAAUUUGUGUGUUGAAUCGUUUUAACCUGUUAUAUUAUAAUGUAAAAAGUCAAACCAAGUAGGCGUUGAGAUCCUUUGUACCUAGACUUCUUUUAUGGGCAAUGAUACCUUUCAUUUUAAUUUUAGUAAUGGAAGAGUUAUGUACCAACAUUGGAGAUGAAGUCACUCUCGAACAAAGUCAAGUGUGCGAUCCAUCUUGUUACUAUGGUGUAAACAACAAUGUGAAAAUUUUGCACAAUGAAUUGUUAAAGUUAAAUUGUGGAUCCUCCGGUCACCCGAGAUGGUUACAUGCCUCUUUGUCGAUGAAAGGAGCGCCCUCUAAAUGGUUUGAUUGUGGAUGAUUUGGCCUCUGUUUUUUGAGUAUAGGAGAAGGUGGGUGUUGUCUUUGGAUGUUUAUUUUUAGUGGGUUUGUUUAGACUCUGUUAUUGUAAAGGGUAUAUUUCUAUCAAUGAAAUUUCAGUGAAGAAAAAUGGAACUAUCUAUCUUAUUAAAACUCAAGUACAAAAUGAGAUUGUUUGGAAACAUGUUUACUAUACUUACUGAAAAGUGUUUGGACACAAGAAUAAUUAUUGUUAUUUAACCAAAGUUAAAAUCAAUAAUCUAAAAUAGUUAUGGUUAACGUAUCCCGUUUGCGCGCUAAUUAAAUUGUACAACUAACCCAAAAAUUAAAUUAACCGAACUCGCUUGAUUCCUUAAAAUAUCAUAACAAUAUAAAGUGUUUGAAUGACUAUAAUCUCGGUUGCAAUCUAUACAAGAUAUUAUUACCUUAAUUUUCUGUGCUCAACUUCCUUCCCACGUCUUUUAUUUACUUCUGCAAGAAAUAUAUCUCCAAGUCUCCAUAAAUAGUUACCUAAAUCAGCGCACACAAAUAUAACCAAAAAAAAUUACAAUCUACAAUAUUUUCGAAAUAUGUGAUACCCCAGAAAUAUUUGAUCCGGGAGAAUAUCCACACAAUAUCUUAACACGCAAUAACUUUGAAAAACCUAGAUUAUUCACCUCUCUAUAUAUACCGACGAUUAAGAAGAAGCUAACAUCCAUUUACAACUCAUAAUGGCAUGAUACCCCAAGAAAUAUGGUUUUUAUCGACGAUCUCAAGCCCUACAAAGACGAAUGGCGAGUUCGUGUCAAAGCUCUUCAUUCUUGGAAACCGAAACCCAUUUUUGGAGGAGAGACUCUUGAUUUCAUACUAGCACACAAGACUGUAAGAGCUUGAGUUUCUUACUUUGAUCUAAUAAAAAAAAAUCUAUGUUGAAUUAGAUCCAGGUUCUUUUAUAUUUUUACAAUUCUAUUGUGAUUUGUGUCAUUCAAACACCUAUAAUAUCUAACCCAAGUAAUUACAGACUUUGUUUAUCUCGUAUUUUACUUUUCUGUAAUUUUAAUUAAAACGUGACUUAAUUUAAAAGUAUUAAUAUAUCUACAUUGGUUUUGUAUUUUUGAAACCUGCAGUUAUAAGCUUCAUGUGUUAGUGAAAGAUGACACUUGAUCAUCCGAGUUAAUGUUGCUUGAUACUGUGGCUACAAGUAUUAUUGGUGAUAAAGUUGUUGAACUUUGGGACAGGUCAUAUGAUGAGAUUGAAGACCAAGAUAUUCCUAUCCAAAACAUGGUAGGAAAAUCGUUUUGUUUUGGGCUUUCCAUCACCGCUGAUAAUGUGACCAACGGAUCAGCUACAUUUAAGUUUGUUGUUUGGCUUUUUUGUUUCAUGUUGUUUUUGGAAUUUCUGGAUUUUGUUUGGAUUUCGUUUUUUUCAAUACUUUUCAUUUAAAUUCUAUUUUUAAUCAAUAAACUUGGCUUUUACUAAUAAUCAUGUCAACCAGUUAAACUAAGACCAUAGUAAUGUACAAGUCGAUUCCAUAAUUACCUUACCAGCAACUUAGCAUGUAACACUCUCACUAUAAUUUUUUGUAUAGUACUACAAUAGGUAUAAUUAACUCAUAAUCAUUUCGAAAAUACCUAUUUACGCAGUUAGUAAGCCAAUAUUAUCAAUGUGAUUGCCAUCCCUUCAGCUCUUAACGUUCCAACACAAACCUAUAAAUAUUUUGUAAAAAAAUAUAUCUGCAAAAAUAGAUUCUCAUAAAAGGGAAUUGCAAAAAAAAAAUAAUAAUAACUAAAAAUCGUUUUGUAAUAUAGAUUCUCAUAAAAUAUAUUUUUUUUUACCAUAAUUUAAAUAUAAAUUAUUAACUAUCAACUUUAUUUAUGCUAAAAACGAAAAUUAAGAUCCUCUAAAUCUUUUGCACGCUAUGUAUCUCAAAAGUCUCUUUUAUUGCAUAACCGAUUACUAAUCCUACAUGUUUCUACUUUUCUUUCAUAUCAUCAGCAAAUCAUACGAUAAUUCAUUCACAUAGAGUUAAAAUCUUCUAAACAAAUUACUAACCGUGUUUUGCUCCUGUUUGAUGUCAAGUGCAUUGUCUAAGUUUGGUUUAGCUGAUGUCUUUUGGUUCUCCAAAACGUCAAUUAAUCAUGCAGACCAAAGAAAACAGUGUCAUUAUUUCCAUUAGAUAAGAGAAAUCUAUUCAUGAAUAAGAGAGGUAUUUUUUUCAAAAAAAAAAAGGGAACAAGAGAGGUAUUUCUAAAAAACAAAUACAACUCACAAUGCUAGCAGCAGUGGUACUUCGUCGUGACAUGCACUUGAAAAGAUGACUAAGACCAGCUCUGCAUAAAAUUUACAAUUCUAAAACUAGAACACCAUUACUGUCCAUACAAAUAUUUACUAUAUGUAGUGUAUCUCAAAACUUAAAAAAUAUUGAUAAGUGCCUGCACUCAUUAAGUAAGAAAUAGAGAGAGUGCUCUAUUACUUCAGAAACCGAAACAGGUAUUUUGUAAAUCUUAGCAUCAAUAAAGUUUGGUUAUCCAUAGUGUUUCAAAAAAAAAAAAAAUCCAUAGAUGCAAGUAUAUAUAAAUAGGUACAAUGCUCUGUCUCAUACCUGUCUACUCCUGCCUUAAAUUUGUUUUUCUGAUUCUUCUUUCUGCUAAAUCAAUAUCAGAAACACAUAUAUACAAAUUGUUAGGAUAUUUAUCAUCAGUGAGGACAAUUAACGAAAAGGGGAGUUUAUUGUGAUUGAUUACCGAACAGUAUAUCAAAUCGAACUUCGAUUGAUUCAUUACAUGCAAUCGAACCUAUAUAUCUGUUAACUAAGCCGGAUUCCUACUGUCUGAUCUCAUUCUUUGGUCAGAUGAACAUCGAUCGUUCAUAUGCAAAUAAGAAAAACAACUUCAAUCGAUUAAAAUAACUUAAUCGUAUAAACUAAAUUAAACUCGGAUAAAAAAAACUAACCUUGAUCAUAGAAGAGACUGCAGAACUAAAGAUCAAACUGAUUUCUUAUAUCUUCUUCCAUAGAUAUAUUUUCCAGUUUCAUGGAUCAAACAACAUGCAAUAGGGUUCAGCAAAGAGGAAAAAAAUAUGGGAGAAUGAGAAGUCGAUAGAAGGAGGAAAGUCGUUUGCCUACCUUUCUGUUAUUAAAUUGGGCUAACAUUAUUAAGCUAAUUAGAAAUCCAAUAUACAGCUAAUGAUAUGUGCCAGCAUUAAUAUAAACAAAACCCAAUUUAAUGGCCUAAAAUUGUGUUUCAAAAAAAAAAUGACCUAAAAUAUAUUUUGUUUUUGUCAACACCUAAGAAUUUAUUCUAAAACUAAAAUAAAUAAAAAACUUAAAAUUUUUAUUCAUAUUACCAAUAAAAAAAUUAAAUUUAUUUAUAUCAAUUUUUUAUUCAAAAAUAAACAUAUAUACAAAAAUUGAUUUUUACGAAAAUAUUUUCAAAUGUCCACUUAAAAAAAUAUAAAUAUAUAAGAAAAAAUAAAGUACAAAGGCCAAUUUUUUUUAAAAAAAAUUAAAUAUAGAUUUUAUAUUUCACAUUAACUUUUUCAAAAUAUAGAUGUAUGUAUUUAACUAUAUGAUAAUAUCUAUAAAAUACUAUUAAUUAUAUGAUGACACAUAUAUGAUAUAUAAUAGUGAUAUGAAAAAUAUAAAAACAAAAAAAUAAUAGUGACAUGUAAAACAUAAAACAUGAUAUAUAUAAUAGUGACAAUAAAUAAACUAUGUAUUUUAAAAUAUGAGUAAAAUAAUUUAUAGAAAAAUAAAAAAUCAAAAUCAAAACCCGCGCGGGUGCGCGGGUCAAGAUCUAGUUUUACAAUUAUAUCACUUGCUACGAACUAGCAUGUAGAACCAAUAAAACAUAUAGCAAUGUGGUGACAAUUUUUUUAUUUGAAUGCCAGCUUUCAAAAAAAAGAUAUGGUGAUAAUUUCCCUACAUAAUAUGAAUACCAACCAACUAUAACUAUUUAGUGCUUUAUCAAAAAAAAACUAUAACUAUUUAGUGUAAAUCUAAGUAUUAGCUUCUGAUGCCGGAUGAAAUUUAAUAUCUUAAUUAAGGAGAUAAGCAUGUAAAAAGAGAAGUGUGAUCCACGUCAUAUUAAAAAUUGGAUAUGACAAUUAUAGGUGACCAGUAUUCCAGUAAUAGUUACAAAUGUAAUUGGAAAAUCUGACCAAAUAAAGUAAGAGAGAACGGUGAUGAGGAAAGUGGAGGAGACAUCUUUCUGUAUUCUUAUCUCUUCAAAUUGGCAGAAAAUAAACCAUAGAUAGGUGGCUUGAAACAGGACUAGUAGCACUUGAUUCACGUGACCUUUGUGCAUCGUUUGACCACGUGAGUCGUUAGAGAAAACGCACCUUAAUACGAGCAAAAAAACAUGAAAGUACUUUUAAGAAGUAAAUCAUGCAUGGACUCGCAAACCACUGUUUAUGUUUCUACAGAACUCCUAUCAAAACCGGACCGGAUCCAUACUAUUAAACGUAACACUAGCCACUACUAUGGUAUGUAUGCUCCUUCUGAAGUUUGUUAAUAUAAUGCAGCCAAAUGCAACCGAACAUUACCGGAUCGUACAUCCGGUGAUUAUUUUGUCACUGGUUAAGUGAUGAGGCAUAGCCCGUAUUACGUGUUGUGGCCCUACAAUUGUCUACUUUAUGUCUUUACCCAAAUCGUAUAUAGUUGUUUAAUGAAGAUUAGUGUUCAAUUUGGACGACCAACACAAAAAGUGCAACUUGCAGCACGAUUAAAAAGGAUUUAAACCCUUUUUCUCAAAGAUAUAUGUUUGGUGCUUCACUCUCUUCUGCAACUUGCUUCUGGUGGUGAAGAAGAGCCAAUGGGAAACAUGUUUGUCCCUUCAUUAACUAAAACUCUUCCACAAGCAUAUCAUCAACCUUAUAAAUAACAAUACUCAUUACCUUUUUUAAUAAAUAAAAUACACAUUACCUUUUUUAAUAAACAAAAUACUCACUAGUCAUUACUUUGUGGUUCGAUUUAGCUUAGAGCUGAACACCAUGAUGAUACUAGACUAGAUAAGGUAGGCAAUGCACCUUUAUUUUGCUAUGGUUUAUAAAAAAAAGCCAUUUAACAUAUUCAGUAAGAACUUAUUAAGUUUUUACAUUUUAAUUUCUAUAGAUGCUGAUAUUUAUUAUAAUUUCGACUAAGACAGACUAUUCUUUGAAAAGGAAAGUUGCAAAGAUUACUUAGAUUAGAUUUGUUUCACUCAUGAUAUACAAAGUAUAUUCUUAGUGUGAUCAUUACUUUAAUAAUUGUUUAUCUUUUUUUUUUUUAAUCUUUAACCUAUAUAUCAGAUUUAAUUUUUUUUUGGCAAUACCGUAUAACGAAUAUUGGAGGAAGUCAUUCUAUAGUGUGAAAAUAAAUGGGUAAUAUAAGAAACCAUCCCUUAUUAAAGAGGAUGCUCCUAUGACAAAGUUGAUUUGACCGAGUGAUAAAAUCCUUCAAGUCACCUCAUUUUCAUGUACUGGGUCCAACUUCCAUGAGAUGAGUAAUAAGUGACUUGACAAAAAACAGAACAAAACAAAAAACACAGUACUUCUGUAUUACACAUUUCAGUUCUGUCUAACAGUACGUGCAAGUCGAACGGUCGAACAUGGUCUCGAAAUAUAAAAAUAUAAAGUUUAAGAAUUUAUAAAAUAUAUUGAUAAAUUAUGUUAAGAAACUUUAAAAUUUUAGAUAUAAUGCUAAAUUUAUAGCUUAUAAUUAAAAAAAUCAGACAAAAUUAUUAAAUUUUAAAAUUACCAGAUAAGAUGUACGAUUUUUUUUUUAACAUAGUCUAAAAUUAAUUUGAGACGGCCCUGCACAUUUCAUAAAAAAAGUUAGCUCAUUAACUUUCGAAAGGGAGCUCUGUAUAUAUUACUAAUUAGUUCGAGCACAACAAUAAAAGAGAUGGAAAGGAAAGUUAUACAAAAUUUCAAGACUUCUAAAUUUUUGUUACUAGAAAUAACAGAAAUGUAGCAAACUUCAGAUUUGAGUUAACAAGGAAACAAAAAAUGUCGAACGCCCACAAAACAUCCGUAUGUCUAUAGUGAAUAACGCAACCGCAG